rnacentral:rRNA from 1 species
UACGUAGGGCGCAAGCGUUGUCCGGAAUUAUUGGGCGUAAAGAGCUCGUAGGCGGUUUGUCGCGUCUGCUGUGAAAACCUAAGGCUCAACCUUGGGCUUGCAGUGGGUACGGGCAGACUAGAGUGCGGUAGGGGUGACUGGAAUUCCUGGUGUAGCGGUGGAAUGCGCAGAUAUCAGGAGGAACACCGAUGGCGAAGGCAGGUCACUGGGACGUUACUGACGCUGAGACGCGAAAGCGUGGGGAGCAAACAGG